UCAGUGAAACCUAUACUUUUUGUACAGAUGCAAGCGACCUGUUAUUGAACUAACACAAACAUAUAUAUCUUUAUAAUUCAAAGAUAUUCGCAUUUUUACCAUUUUGGAAAAGACCUCAGAAGCUUUUCACCAACAGAAAUAAUGUAUUCGAAACUCCUUAUUCUUGUAUUCAUGAUGGUAUCGAUGUUGGCCAUAACUAAUGGCUACUGCACUUGUGAAGAAAACCUGCAGAAAACCAAGGAGAUUUAUCAAGGCGUACUGUUUCAGCUCAUACAGGGAAUGACACCGAACACUCCUCCAAUACUACCCGGCAAAUAAGUAUAUUGGUUCAUCUAUGGCAGUACAGUAUAAAGACGACUGACCGAAGACAUUGAUAUCGAAAAGGUGUAAUACCUGCAUGAAAUAAACUUUCUAGAUACUA